CCCACUCGCCGCCCCUCAAGGAGGCCGCCCUGGAUCCUAGGAUCCUAGGAUCCAGGGCGGCCUCCUUGAGGGGCG
rnacentral:pre_miRNA from 1 species